rnacentral:rRNA from 1 species
ACGGCUCAGUAACACGUGGACAACCUACCCUGAGGUCGGGGAUAAACCCGGGAAACUGGGUAUAAUACCCGAUAGAUCUAGAUCGCUGGAAUGCUUUUAGGUCUAAAGUUCCGACGCCUCAGGAUGGGUCUGCGGCCUAUCAGGGUAGUAGUGGGUGUAAAGUACCUACUAGCCUACGACGGGUACGGGUUGUGAGAGCAAGAGCCCGGAGAUGGAUUCUGAGACACGAAUCCAGGCCCUACGGGGUGCAGCAGGCGCGAAACCUUUACAAUGCUGGCAACAGCGAUAAGGGGACCUCGAGUGCUACGAUACAAUCGUGGCUGUCUAGUUGCCUAAAAAGCAAUUGAUAGCAAGGGCCGGGCAAGACCGGUGCCAGCCGCCGCGGUAACACCGGCGGCUCGAGUGGUAACCGCUAUUAUUGGGUCUAAAGGGUCUGUAGCCGGCUUAGUUAGUCUCUUGAGAAAUCUGGCCGCUCAACGGUCAGGCGUUCAGGGGAUACUGCUAAAGCUCGAGACCGGGAGAGGUGAGAGGUACUUCAGGGGUAGGGGUGAAAUCUUGUAAUCCUUGAAGGACCACCAGUGGCGAAGGCGUCUCACCAGAACGGAUCUGACGGCAAGGGACGAAAGCUAGGGGCACGAACCGGAUUAGAUACCCGGGUAGUCCUAGCCGUAAACGAUACUCGCUAGGUGUCGGCCACGGUGCGACCGUGGUCGGUGCCGUAGGGAAGCCGUGAAGCGAGCCACCUGGGAAGUACGGCCGCAAGGCUGAAACUUAAAGGAAUUGGCGGGGGAGCAC